GCGUGCACCCGCGGUUACCCUGUCUGACCAGGGCAGGUCACGGGAGAGCACCGGUGCGGCACGGAGCCUCCCACGCUUCGGCCUCCGGUCCUCGGUGUGUGUUCUCGCAUGGCAUUGGCUGAAUUCUUGAGGAAGACGCGAGGCUUGGCGAUAGUGCAAGAGAUACCGGUCUAGAACACUCUGGGAGCGGCAGCGGCUGCCGAGUGACGCCGGGCCGGGAAACCAGGGCGCGCGCCGCAGUCCUUGCCACCACCGUUCCCACCGCGCCCCUCGGGGCCCCGGAUUAUCGCCUCACCGGUGGGAUUUCCAGACCGCCGCUUCCUAAUAGGCCUGCGAAGGAAGCCACUGCAAGCUCUCUUGGGAAUUAAGCUGAACAUCUGGGCUCUCUUCCCUCUGUGUCUUAUCUCCUUUCUCCUCUUUCCCUCCGCGAAGAAGCUUAAGACAAAACCAGAAAGCAGGAGACACUCACCUCUCCGUGGACUGAAAGCCAGACGAAGAGGAAACCGAAAGUUGUCCUUUCUCAGUGCCUCGUAGAGCUCUUGCCGGGGACCUAGCUGAAGGCACCGCACCCUCCUGAAGCGACCUGGCCCUGAUAGCACACCUGGAGCCGAGAGACGCCUUUCCGCCAGUACUCCUCGGGUCAUAUAGACUUUCCUGGCAUCCCUGGGUCUUUGAAGAAGAAAGAAAAGAGGAUACUCUAGGAGAGCAAGGGCGUCCAGCGGUACCAUGGGCCGUCGGAGCGCGCUAGCCCUUGCCGUGGUCUCUGCCCUGCUGUGCCAGGUCUGGAGCUCCGGCGUAUUUGAGCUGCUGAGAACCAGGUUCAGGCGAAGCUGGUUCUCUCAGAGUUAGCAGAGGCGCCCGACACUGCCAGCCUAGGCUUUGGCUGCCGCUGGACUGCCUGCUGGUUGUUCCCAUUGCACUAUGGACAGUUGCUUUGAAGAGUAUAUAUUUAAAUGGACGAGUGACUUGAUUCAUAUAGGAAGCACGCACUGCCCACACGUCUAUCUUGGAUUACUAUGAGCCAGUCUUUCCUUGAACUAGAAACACAACUGCCUUUAUUGUCCUUUUUGAUACUGAGAUGUGUUUUUUUUUUUCCUAGACGGGAAAAAGAAAACGUGUGUUAUUUUUUUGGGAUUUGUAAAAAUAUUUUUCAUGAUAUCUGUAAAGCUUGAGUAUUUUGUGACGUUCAUUUUUUUAUAAUUUAAAUUUUGGUAAAUAUGUACAAAGGCACUUCGGGUCUAUGUGACUAUAUUUUUUUGUAUAUAAAUGUAUUUAUGGAAUAUUGUGCAAAUGUUAUUUGAGUUUUUUACUGUUUUGUUAAUGAAGAAAUUCAUUUUAAAAAUAUUUUUCCAAAAUAAAUAUAAUGAACUAC
rnacentral:lncRNA from 1 species